rnacentral:rRNA from 1 species
GAUGAACGCUGGCGGCGUGCCUAAUACAUGCAAGUCGAGCGAACAGACGAGGAGCUUGCUCCUCUGACGUUAGCGGCGGACGGGUGAGUAACACGUGGAUAACCUACCUAUAAGACUGGGAUAACUUCGGGAAACCGGAGCUAAUACCGGAUAAUAUAUUGAACCGCAUGGUUCAAUAGUGAAAGACGGUUUUGCUGUCACUUAUAGAUGGAUCCGCGCCGCAUUAGCUAGUUGGUAAGGUAACGGCUUACCAAGGCAACGAUGCGUAGCCGACCUGAGAGGGUGAUCGGCCACCCUGGAACUGGGACACGGUCCAGACUCCUACGGGAGGCAGCAGUAGGGAAUCUUCCGCAAUGGGCGAAAGCCUGACGGAGCAACGCCGCGUGAGUGAUGAAGGUCUUCGGAUCGUAAAACUCUGUUAUUAGUGAAGAACAAAUGUGUAAGUAACUAUGCACGUCUUGACGGUACCUAAUCAGAAAGCCACGGCUAACUACGUG